rnacentral:tRNA from 1 species
CCGACCUUAGCUCAGUUGGUAGAGCGGGAGACUGUAGUUUGCAGACAGCCAUCUCUAGGUCGCUGGUUCGAAUCCGGCAGGUCGGA